rnacentral:rRNA from 1 species
GACGAACGCUGGCGGCGUGCUUAACACAUGCAAGUCGAACGGAAAGGCGCGGCUUUUGUGGGUUGCUCGAGUGGCGAACGGGUGAGUAUCACGUGAGUAUCCUGCCCCUGUCUGUGGGAUAACUUCAGGAAACAGGGGCUAAUACCGGAUAGGAGCUCCUGCUGCAUGGUGUGGGUUGGAGAGUUUCGGCGGUUGGGGCUGUACUCGCAGCUUAUCAGCUGGUUGGUCAGGUAGUUAAUGACCAAGGCUUUGAGGGGUAGGCGGCCUGGGAGGGUGACCGGCCACCUUGGGACUGAGGUAGGGACCAGAAUGCAACGUGAGGCAGCGGUCGAGAGUAUUACACAAUGGGCGGAAGCGUGAUGCGAAGACCCUGCGUGCGGGAAGCCGGCCUAUGGGUUAUAAACCGCUUUGGCAUGUAACGAAGCGUGAGUGACGGUAAUGAGUCAAAAAGCAACGGCUAACUACGUG